rnacentral:lncRNA from 1 species
AGCAAUGAAGGCUCCGAGUGGAAGUCCUACACAGAGGGUUCAAGCUCAAUGCCAAAGGUUUUCCUGGGUAAUGCAAACAGCAAUGGGCGCAUCAAGAAUUUUUUUAACCCACCCAUCCUGUCCAGGUUCAUUCGCAUUGUUCCAAAAACAUGAACAUGCAUUUUAAAGAGAAGGGGAUAGAACAGGAGUGAAAAAAGUGUAAAAAUUAAACAAACAUUUUUUUCUAUUUUUCUUCUUUUUUUACUAUGUCACGAAAUGUUGUAAUUUUUCACUGGAAAAUAAAUCUAAUAUUGUUGCAUGAAAGGCA